GAGUGUUAGGUUAAGUCCUGCAACGAGCGCAACCCUCGUCGCUAGUUACUUUUCUCUAGCGAUACUGCCCGUAUAACGUGGAGGAAGGUGGGGAUGACGUCAAGUCAGCACGGCCCUUACAUCCUGGGCUGCACACACGCUACAAUGGGUGAUACAACAGGUUGCAAUAGAGCGAUCUGGAGCCAAUCCCUAAAAUCAUCCUCAGUACGGAUUGCAGGCUGCAACUGCCUGCAUGAAGUUGGAGUUGCUAGUAAACGCAGGUCAGCACACUGCGUUGAAUACGUUCUCGGGCCUU
rnacentral:rRNA from 1 species